rnacentral:rRNA from 1 species
CGAACGGGUGAGGAACGCGUGGACAACCUACCCCGGCGUGGGGGAUACCCGCCAGAAAUGGCGGCUAAUACCGCGUACGGUUCUCCGGCGGCGGGCUGGGGAAAGAAAGCAGCGAUGCGCGCUGGGAGGGGUCUGCGGCCGAUUAGCUUGUUGGCGGGGUAACGGCCCACCAAGGCGAUGAUCGGUAGCUGGUCUGAGAGGAUGAUCAGCCACACGGGGACUGAGACACGGCCCCG